rnacentral:rRNA from 1 species
CAGUCGCCGCGGUAAUACGAAGGGUGCAAGCGUUAAUCGGAAUUACUGGGCGUAAAGCGUGCGUAGGCGGUGAGUUAAGUCUGCUGUGAAAUCCCCGGGCUCAACCUGGGAAUGGCAGUGGAUACUGGCUCGCUAGAGUGUGUCAGAGGAUGGUGGAAUUCCCGGUGUAGCGGUGAAAUGCGUAGAGAUCGGGAGGAACAUCAAUGGCGAAGGCGGCCAUCUGGGACAACACUGACGCUGAGGCACGAAAGCGUGGGGAGCAAACAGGAUUAGAGACCCCCGUAGUCCCUGUCUCUUAUAC